AAUCUUGUAGUGUAAUGGUAACACGUUAGAUUCUGAAUCUAAUAAUUAGGGUUCGAACCCCUACAAGAUUA